AUAGGAGUACAUGAUCGUCGAACGUGACCAACUGUGAAAUACUCUACUAUCAAGAGUAGCUCGCAAAGGGUAUAGAUAUAAGUGUCCCUCCGACCUGAGAUCACCACAGUGACUUGCAAGCAACUCACUGUACAUCGAUGUCGGACUAUCUAAAUUUUUAAUUCAGUGAUGAAAGAUUUUUGAGUAUAGUCAAAUAUUUAUUAAGUCGAUGCAUGAGUCAAUAUGAGAUUGACCCC
rnacentral:lncRNA from 1 species